rnacentral:rRNA from 1 species
UACGUAGGGGGCAAGCGUUGUCCGGAAUCAUUGGGCGUAAAGAGCGUGUAGGCGGCCCGAUAAGUCCGCCGUGAAAGUCCAGGGCUCAACCCUGGAAUGCCGGUGGAAACUGUCGGGCUCGAGUCCGGAAGAGGCGAGUGGAAUUCCUGGUGUAGCGGUGAAAUGCGCAGAUAUCAGGAGGAACACCAAUGGCGAAGGCAGCUCGCUGGGACGGUACUGACGCUGAGACGCGAAAGCCAGGGGAGCGAACGGG